UACGGAGGGUGCAAGCGUUAUCCGGAUUCACUGGGUUUAAAGGGUGCGUAGGCGGGUAUGUAAGUCAGUGGUGAAAUCCCCGAGCUUAACUCGGGAACUGCCAUUGAUACUAUAUAUCUUGAAUGUUCUGGAGGUAUGCGGAAUAUGUCAUGUAGCGGUGAAAUGCUUAGAGAUGACAUAGAACACCUAUUGCGAAGGCAGCAUACUACGGAAAUAUUGACGCUGAGGCACGAAAGUGUGGGGAGUCAAACAGG
rnacentral:rRNA from 1 species